UAGGGAAUAUUGCACAAUGGGGAAGACCCUGAUGCAGCGACGCCGCGUGAAGGAAGAAGUAUCUCGGUAUGUAAACUUCUAUCAGCAGGGAAGAAAAUGACGGUACCUGACUAAGAAGCCCCGGCUAACUACGUGCCAGCAGCCGCGGUAAUACGUAGGGGCGAAGCGUUAUCCGGAUUUACCUGGUGUAAAGGGAGCGUAGACGGCUGUGCAAGUCUGAAGUGAAAGCCCGGGGCUCAACCCCGGGCAGCGCUUUGGAAAUGACUGUGUAGCUUGAGUGCUGGAGAGGUAAGUGGAAUUCCUAGUGUAGCGGUGAAAUGCGUAGAUAUUAGGAGGAACACCAGUGGCGAAGGCGGCUUACUGGACAGUAACUGACGUUGAGGCUCGAAAGCGUGGGGAGCAAACAGGAUUAGAUACC
rnacentral:rRNA from 1 species